rnacentral:rRNA from 1 species
AGUGAACGCUGGCGGUAGGCCUAACACAUGCAAGUCGAACGGCAGCACAGUAAGAGCUUGCUCUUACGGGUGGCGAGUGGCGGACGGGUGAGGAAUACAUCUGAAUCUACUUUUUCGUGGGGGAUAACGUAGGGAAACUUACGCUAAUACCGCCUACGACCUACGGGUGAAAGCAGGGGAUCUUCGGACCUUGCGCGAUUGAAUGAGCCGAUGUCGGAUUAGCUAGUUGGCGGGGUAAAGGCCCACCAAGGCGACGAUCCGUAGCUGGUCUGAGAGGAUGAACAGCCACACUGGAACUGAGACACGGUCCAGACUCCUACGGGAGGCAGCAGUGGGGAAUAUUGGACAAUGGGCGCAAGCCUGAUCCAGCCAUACCGCGUGGGUGAAGAAGGCCUUCGGGUUGUAAAGCCCUUUUGUUGGGAAAGAAAAGCAGCAGGUUAAUACCCCGCUGUUCUGACGGUACCCAAAGAAUAAGCACCGGCUAACUUCGUG